rnacentral:lncRNA from 1 species
AAUUUCUUGUUCGAUUUUGGAAAAUCAAAGAUAAAAUCUCAUUUUUUUGUUAUGAAAUAUAUUACUUGAUCAUUUGUGGGAAAAUAUACUAAUGCUCAUUACUAAAACAAAAUAUGAUAUCUUGUAUACUUAUGAUUUAUUGUAUUAUUUAAUAAUAAAUUUUUAAUUUAAGUAAAAUAUAUUUUUAUGGAAGUUUUGUAAGAAUAAAAUAGUUGAAGUUAAUUGUUAAAUUUUUAUAAAUUGAAAGUAUUACUAACAAUUGUUAACUUAAAAACAAAGGGAAUUAUUUUGGAAUAUUCUUUUUUUGGAUUAAAAAAUGGAGUAAUACAUUGGAGUAAAACCCAACUCCAUUUUGGAGUAACACUAUUUUGGAGUAAAAAAAUAGAGUAAUACAUUGGAGAUGCUCUAAUGUUGAAGCUUAAAGCCGGCAAUUGGGUUUAUAAGCUAAUCGAAUAAUAAUAAUAAAGACGAGGUUAGAAAU